AACAUUUUUCAGAACUUCCGCUUACUUUGCACUCGAUUCUAGGCCGCAGGUGGUUUUUUGGAUUACAAAAACCGGAAAAAAAGUGCGGCUUAGAUUCGAGUAAAUACGGUAAUAAAUAUAUCCUGUCAGUGAUCUGAAAUUGUGCAAAAUUCCUGAUAAUGCCCGCCCAUAUUUUUACCAAGGUAGUUUUGUCUAUACAGCAGAAGUUUCAUCCUUACAUAUUCUCUGUACAGUUCCAAUCUCUCCCGAUGUGACUUCCUUAUUCUUGAAGUACUAAAGAAAAUGAAUCGUGACCAUCAAUUGACUUUGGAUGAAGGGGAACAUGCCUGGGUAUAAUCACAGCUCCAUAGACAACCACAAACAUUUUUCUCUGAAAGCAGUGUCUGUCUUGUCCCACUGUGGUGUAAAUGUUUUAACAAUUAUGACUGUAUAAAGAUGCCUAACCCAUUAAUUGGAGUGUAAAGAUGGAAUCUGGAAGAGAGUAUUUGAUAAGUGUGCUUGCAGCAGAGCCACUGAAUUGGCAGUAUCCUCAAUUGAUCCAGAGUACGACCCUUGUGAAAAUAAAGGGGCAGAUGAAACAGAAUAAGGUGUUCAUAUAUUAUACAGAUGACACCUGUUUGUGUCACAUGAGGGAAACACCAGACAACAAACUAAAGCAAUGGUCUGGGGACUAUUGAGAGAUCGAUAAGGAGUGGCCUACUGAGAGGAAAGAGGAAGAUGGGAGAGUGGGUGACUGGAACUGGAACAGCAGGUUGAUGGUGAAUCAAAAGAUGAGUUGAUGUAUUUUUCAUAAUUUACUUUCACAUUUGGUUAAUUGUUUUCAUUUCAGCUUUGGAAUAUUAAAUGUUGUCAGUAUAUUUAUGGAUAUGAAAUAAUAAAAUUAUAUUG